UUAGUGGUAGAAUUCUCGCCUGCCACGCGGGAGGCCCGGGUUCGAUUCCCGCAGCAGGCA
rnacentral:tRNA from 1 species